UUAUGCCAUGCCCUGGUAAUUCCAAAUACAGUUGUCAUUACUCUACAGAAGAGGAAUCUGAGUUUCUGAGACAGAACUUAGGUUACUUACCUAAGGUCACACUGCAAGAAGUACCAAGAAGGUACUUUCCCCACAAAUUUAGGGUUUCCUCUUUUGACACCGAUUUCCUCUUAUACAUCAAGAUUUCAUAGGAAGUGUUCCUAUGUAUCCAUCCUUCUCUAAAUACCCAUGGGUCAUUUUCUUAUUACACUGUCCAAGUACCUGGAAGUUUCCCCAACUGACUGGUAGAUAUUGCUAUCUAAUACUACGUAGUACAAAGUGGAAGUCCUCUAAUGCAUUGAGAGUACUAAAUAGAAAGUGAUCCAUUAGCCUAUUUGAUCAACCCUUGAGUUUAUUUAAAACAAGAGCAAAGUCCAACAUAACCUAACCCUCUCCUAUCUUCCAGUUUUCUUACACUUUCUUCUUUAAUACUAUUCUUUGACCCAAUGACACUGAUCUCCUGGCUGUUCCAUGAAUAAGACACUCCUUCUGUCAGCUUAGCUCCUGACAUUUUCUCUGGUUAUCUCCCCUGUCUCCCUCUUCUACUCCAACUAUUGACCUCCCUGGCCUCCUUUAGGUCCCAACAAAAAUUCUACUUUUUACUGGAAUUCUUACCCAAUCCCACUUAAUUUUAGUACCUUUCCUUUGUUAAUUAUUCUUAUUUACCUGUUUACUCUGUAGAUAACUUAUUUGUGUAUCCAUCUUUCUGUGUACACACACACACACACACUUAUUUUUUAUGUUGUCUUCUUCCAUUAAGUUGUGAGCUCUUUGAGGACAAGAACUCUUUUGCUCCCCUCUUUUAAAAAAAAAAAAACCCAUGCUUUGUACAAUGCCUAGUACUUAAUGAUAAUUUAAUAAAUGUUUAUUGACUGACACUUGAUUCUUAGAAGGAGAUACCAAUAUAUGAAGAUGAGGCAGAGGACUACAAUAGAGUAAAUCUUAUCUCAGUUAAAGUAGAAGAAUUCCUUGGACUUUCUAUAAAAAUUCUCCUAUCCCAAGGAAGCCAAACUUAUUGAUUAAUAGCAGCCACAAAAAUCCAAUCAUAACAAUAUGUCCAUGAGCAUUUACUUGUAGAGACAAAGGUUCGAGAAAGCUUAGCACUGGAAGCAUCCUUGGAUCCAAUCCCCCCAUUUCACAGAUAAGAAAACAGAUUCUGAGCAGUUUAGAAUCAUAGAAUUACAGGGACCUAGAGGUCACUUAGGACAAUAUCACUUUUUUAAUUAAAGCUUUUUAUUUUCUAAAUAUAUACUUGGAUAAUUUUCAACAAACAUCCUUAUUGAAACCUUGUAUUGUAGUUUUUUCCCUCUCCCUUUUCCCCACCCCCUCCCCAGAUGGCAAGUAAUCCAAUAUAUGUUAGACAUGUGCAAUUCUUCUAUACAUAUUUCUACAAAUAUCAAGCUGCACAAGAAAAAUAAGAUCAAAAAGGAAAAAAAGAGGAAAAAAUGCAAGCAAACAACAACAAAAAAGGUGAAAAUAAAUGUUAUGAUCCAUACUCAGUCCCAUGGCUCUCUUCAUCACAAGACUAUUGGAACUGGCCUGAAUCAUCUCAUUGUUGAAGAGAGCCAAGUAGGAUGUUUUACAUUUGAAAAAAUAAAGGCUCAGGGAUGGUGAUAAGUUUCUCAUGUUCUCUAGACUUGUUCCCUGUUUUCCCUCCCUCAUUCUUUGAGAAGUUAUUGAGGGGACUAAGAUGGGAAUAUAAAAUAUAGGUUAUUAAAACAAAAGGCUGGUAGUUUACCUUCCUACUUAGAUGGUGUGUUUUCUAGAGGUAUUGGGUAAUUUGUAACUGAGUUAUGCCUUAAAAUUUGUCAUCUCUAUUGGGCAAUUAUAAGUUAUAUGAAGAUUUGUUCAGUUACUUGUGAACUUCAAGAUCUGUGUAAUGUUAAAUUUAAAACUAUUUACUUAGGGACUGCAGCUAAUAUUUGCUGGGAGUUUUGAAUUCAGGUGUGACUGCAUAGGUCAUAAAGUGGAAUGGUUAAAACUUAAGGACAGUUACCUGAAGUAAAACUGCCUUAAAUAGAUGUUUUAAUUUGUGGCCAGACUUUGGUUGCUGCUAUGAAUCUUUUAACCUUUUUUACUUCCUGGGGCUAGAGUUUCUUUUUCUAAAGGUUUAAUUCCCCAAGUACUUGGGGCCACUCCUACCUUGUCUUUUGAGAAAGCUGGGAAUCUCAUGGCCCUAUUAGGCUUAGGCCUAGAGCCUUUUACACUGUGUGUUGAUGGAAGGCAGGGCUAGGCCCCUGAUAUGCUGCUCAAGGAGCCCAGGGUUAUAGAAUAUGCAUACUGUCUAUAGUUAAGAGAGGAGCUAUUGAAGUGGAGAACGAACCCACUCCUACCACAUCUCUCCUUUGCUACCUUGUCCUCAAUGUUGGUGGCCCUCUUAGGAGGUUUCCACUGAGGCAAACCCACCACAUCAUGCUUCUAUAACGAGGGGCGGCUCAAAUUCCCGGGCUAAUUUGAAGUUGCUGGGAGAUUCCGGGAGUCUUCGGGGGAAUUUGUCGCUCAUAGGGUGCUGUGAGGACAAAAUCCUGUUUUUUGUUUUUUUUUGUUUUUUUGGCAAACGGUCCCUCUGAGAGGGCCUUUGUGACACCUUCUAGAGACAUCUAGGAAGGUUACAUUAUAGAAUGCAAAAGUUUUCGGGUUUUGCCAUGAAUUCUUCCCCAUCCCUAUGGAGACUUUAAGCUGUCUCUCAAUGCAGAAACAAACACUGGGCUUGAGAAAAAUUCCUCAAUCUCAACACCUGAACUCUGAAUAGAUUAGCUGAAUUCCAAUCUCUCUGGACAAGUCCAUCCUUUAAAGUGCUUUUUUCUUUCUAAUCCUGGGACUGGUUAACACUUAUGCCCUCAGGCAAAAGCUGGGAGCCAAAACACACCCAGCACUCUUGUCUCUUUAAAAGUUGAAAGACUCAGCCUAGUGAAACCUAGGACCUACUCACCACCUCAACUUUUUUGGGGUCCAAACCUCAAUGUUUCUUCCACUCUGCUGCUAACAGCUGUUGGUUUCCCUUUAACUCUAACCUGAGACACUGAGCUCUUUUCUUCUCAGAGCAACUUCUGCCUCCUGAAAAAACAUUUGGAGCAGAAGCGCCUUUUAAUACAAAUCUCUCCCAGACUUAGGCCCGAAGGUGCCCUGGAAACUGUCCGAGGAGACCCCAGUCUCUGUCCUGAGUUCGAGCAGGAGGAACAAUGGAGAAACUGCGUCACACCACAGGGGCUGAAUUGGCCCCGGCGUCCUGCUCCCCGGUAGGGAAUUGGGGUCUGGCCCUAUUUCCCUUUUUAUCCCAGGACAGUCCCAACACCUCAGGGCCGGUAAGCUGGGUUGGCAGUGCUGAGAUACUUUGCACUCCUUCUGACCCCUUCUACCCCUCCCCCAUAAGAGUGGGGAAAGUGGGGAGAAGGCUCAGGAUCUUUGCUUAUUGAGGAACCAACUCCUUUUAAAGAAAGAUUUCUAAGAGCUUAAAUUGCAUUCUUAUCUUGAUUAGAUAUAUAGGCCUCCAGUUUCCCCUGACUCCUUAGUCUACACCCUGAACCAACACCAGGAGAAAUUAGCUUUCCUGGAAAUUUAAGAGUGAAAGGGCUAAACUCGAGGCUACUUAACACUUUUACUAUAGACAAAUAAUCUUUUGCUCCCAGCAUUUUCUCCUACUUCUCCUUGUUAGAUGGGCCAUCAACAUUCUUACAGGCAGCCCACAGAAGGGAACCUGCUGUCAUCAUCUCCACCCUAGAUGACACCCUGGUUUUAACCUGCUCCCGAGAUCUGGGCUUCAAUCUUUGUACUCUCAACUGCCCUUCAGCCUGGAGAACAUGACUGGGAACAACUGACCGGGAUACACACCCCUUAGAUGCCCUGCUGCCAUCCCCAAAUCCCACACCUCACGCCUCACCUCUUGGCAUGAACCCCAAAUCUCUACAACCCUUGCCAGCUCGAAGCAGUUAAGAGGAGAUUGGCGCCCCUUUUCCCAUAUGCCUUUGGAGGUGACUGCUUGAGGGGGGGAUAAAGAGGGGACCCCUGAACUUGGAAAAUCCUGGAAGGAGAAAAAUCUUCAAUUCUGUCUCAAUAAGAGACUUUGCCCCAUGUCUUUUUCCUUACUGCUUGAGGGGGGAAUGAUGUGAAAGAUUCCUUUCUAGAUUCCCAUCCUCUCCUAGUUAAUUUAAAUUGCCCUUCAACUCACAAUGCUGGUCCCUUUGAAUUCCAAUAGAAGAUCCGGACCUGAGCCAACUUUGGGGCUACACCCAAAAGCCCCUUGAGCUAAGUCUCCUAUUAUAAAAAGACCACGCCAGAAACCCCACGUGAGGACCCUUUGUCCAGUGCCCUCCUUAUCUCUAUCUUCACCUAAUAAUAAACCUCUUUUAUCAAUCUAGCUCUCCGGGCCAAUAAAUGCUUUUAUUGGGAACUCAUGCCGCUACUAGACCCCAUUUACUGCCGUAUCCUUGUGCCGAAUCCAAAGGGGUUGCAGGGGAGCUUUGCUUGACUCCCUGUACCCCAAACCUGCCUCUAGACCUCAACAGUAUGAAAUUAUUGAUACUCUAUGAACAGUCACUAGGCAUUUAUAAAUUUUUUACUAAAUGCCAGAGACUAUGGUAGGAUUUUAGCUUUCAAAGACCAAUUAAUAAACAAUCAAUCUCUAGCCUCAAAAAACUUAUAUUCUAUCAAGGGAAACAAAAUGUGUACAUAUAAAACAUACACGUUAACACUUGAAAAACAUUGAAAAUAGAACUACAAACAGAAAUUUUAUCCAUGAAUUUAGUCAUUGUUCUUUCCUAUCAGAGAAAGUCACAUGAUUUCAGAAUUGGAAAGAAAGUCAAAGGCCAGCAUGUUCAACCUAUAACUUAACAAGCAUCCUUUCUUCAACAUGCCUUAGAAGUGGUCCUUCAGACUUUGCUUGAAAACCAACUUCUAGUGAAGAUAAGUUUUUUUUUUUUCCUUUUAGAUAUUUCACAUUUUCAGGAAAUAUUUUCCUUAGAGGCAACUAGGUGGCUCACAAGGGCUGGAAUUAAGAAACUUGUGUUCAAACCUAACCUCAGACAAUUACUAGCUGUGUCAACCAAGACAACUCAUUUAACUUGUCUGUCUCCGUUUUUUUUCAAUUAUAAAAGGGGGAUAAUAAUAGCAUCUAUCUUCCUGCAUUAUUGUGAGGCUCAAAUAAGAUAUUUGUAAAGCACUUAGUAAAGAGCUUGGAAAACAGUAGUUAGUUGGUAAGUUCUUGUUCAUUUUCUUCCUUCCAUCAAAUCUGUCUCUUUACAACUUCUACUAUUGUUCCUAGUUUUAUCUUCUAGGACCAAGCAGUCCUUGAAAGACUUGAAGACAUCUAUCCUGUGCCCAAUCACACCUAUCCCCUCACUAUCAUUACCAAGUCAUUAAUCUAAAUAUUCCUACUUCCUCUAAUUAACCUUAAACAACCAAAAUCAUUAAAUCCUUCAUUUUCCUGAUCACUGGUCAGCUUCUUAAUGAUCUCCCUCUAAAAUGUAGUCCAGAAAUGAGCACAUUAUUCUGGAUGUUGUCUUUGACCAAUAUGCUGCUAGGUUAUUAGGGUUCAAGAACAAAGAAAAAAAUCAGUUUGUGUUCUUAAGGAAAUUACUUUUUAUCAGAUGGUACAACACAUACACUUAUAAAGUAUAUAUGUCAAUACUUAGAACAUUCAAAACAGAUUCAAAUAGUUUUGUUGAUUCAUAUCAAGCUUGCAGUUAACUAAAAGCUCAAGAUCUUUUUCAAGUGCUUUAGCCAUAUUUAACCAGUCUUGUGCUCAUGAAAUUUGUUUUUUGAACCUCAUGGAUGAUUUUACAUUUAUCCUGAGUUUUAUCUUGUUAGAUUGAACUCAAGCCUAUCAAGAUCUUUUUCAGUCCUGAUUUGUCUCCUUGUUUCCUGUUACCUAUAAAUGUGUUAAGUAUACCAUACCAAACCCAGAUCCCUGGUGUACUCCACUAGAGCCCAAAAUGAUAUGGAACACUAUUCUUUGGAUCUAGCCAUUCAAUCAUUUCUGAAUCCUACAUCUUUCCUUUUGACCACAAAAAUAGGAUAAGGCACUCUGACAAAUGCUUUGCAAAAAUCAGAGCAACCUAAGCAGGUGGUUUGGCAGAUUUGCCUUUUAUAAAAGACAAAUUGUAAACCCCAGAACAACGCAGGACUUAGCCACCAUUACUUAGUACUGGAAAUCAAUCAGCAGCACUGCCCCCAGGGCAAAUUAAAGUAGCUCUCGCUCCUUUGCAUUGAACAGACCUCAAGCCUUAAAAAAAAAAAAAAAAAAAAAACAA